rnacentral:rRNA from 1 species
GAUGAACGCUGGCGGCGUGCUUAACACAUGCAAGUCGAACGAUGAAGCUCAGCUUGCUGGGUGGAUUAGUGGCGAACGGGUGAGUAACACGUGAGUAACCUGCCCUUAACUCUGGGAUAAGCCUGGGAAACUAGGUCUAAUACCGGAUAGGAGCGUCCACCGCAUGGUGGGUGUUGGAAAGAUUUAUCGGUUUUGGAUGGACUCGCGGCCUAUCAGCUUGUUGGUGAGGUAAUGGCUCACCAAGGCGACGACGGGUAGCCGGCCUGAGAGGGUGACCGGCCACACUGGGACUGCGACACGGCCCAGACUCCUACGGGAGGCAGCAGUGGGGAAUAUUGCACAAUGGGCGAAAGCCUGAUGCAGCGACGCCGCGUGAGGGAUGACGGCCUUCGGGUUGUAAACCUCUUUCAGUAGGGAAGAAACGAAAGUGACGGUACCUGCAGAAGAAGCACCGGCUAACUACGUG